rnacentral:rRNA from 1 species
UACGUAGGGGGCUAGCGUUGUCCGGAAUCAUUGGGCGUAAAGAGCGUGUAGGCGGUCCGGUAAGUCCGCUGUGAAAGUCGGGGGCUCAACCCUCGAAUGCCGGUGGAUACUGUCGGGCUAGAGUGCGGAAGAGGCGAGUGGAAUUCCUGGUGUAGCGGUGAAAUGCGCAGAUAUCAGGAGGAACACCUAUUGCGAGGGCAGCUCGCUGGGACGUAACUGACGCUGAGACGCGAAAGCGUGGGGAGCAAACAGG